rnacentral:rRNA from 1 species
AUGACUAUAGCCCUUGGUAGAAUUCCUAAAGAAGAAAAUGAUCUAUUUGAUACUAUGGAUGACUGGUUACGAAGGGACCGUUUCGUUUUUGUAGGAUGGUCUGGCCUAUUGCUCUUUCCUUGUACUUAUUUCGCUUUAGGGGGUUGGUUUACAGGGACAACUUUUGUAACUUCUUGGUAUACCCAUGGAUUGGCUAGUUCCUAUUUAAGGUUGUAA